rnacentral:tRNA from 1 species
GGGACAGUGGCACAACGGAUAAUGCGCCUGACUAUGGAUCAGAGACUCCUGCUCCGAAUCCUGGCUGGCUCCG